rnacentral:lncRNA from 1 species
UUCCACGCUGAAGAGCAGGAAGAAAGGUUGCAGCGUCUUGCCUGUAGAGGCUCUUCAGGUGUGAGGGGUGGAGAGGAGGGGAGGGGUCAGUGGCCACAGCAGGAUGAGCAGGGGGCUGAGGGAGAAGUGCGAGGGGCCAGGAGCCAGAAUCACACCUGAAGAAGAUUUGACGGCUGAAACGUGUUCCUCCCAUUUUCAGUGUGGAAAUAAACCGUACCUGUUCAGACAGAGACGGUAUUGAGGCGCGGAGACCGGGGACGCUGGCAGGCAGACAGCUGUCCUGCUGUCAGUCCCUUGCUGUGGUGCUGGGCUGACCGGCAGGAGGGCCCUGAGGGGCUGGUUAGCGGGGUGGGAGCUCGUUCUGGGGCGCCAGCUUGACCUUCUCCUGUCCCCGCAGCAGCGUCUCCGUCGGUGGCCAGCGGGAGCGCCGGGGUGUCCGCGGAAGGCAGCCUUGCCACCACUACGGAGGGGAGCCCCGACUUGGAGGACAGCAAGGCCAGCUCCUCUGGCCCGGUCACCCAGCAGAUGACAGCCAUGAGCAUCUCCCGUGACGAUGGCGCCUCUGAGUCGGACCAAGCCGAAAAAGAGGAAGAGGAGGGUGGCCCCAGAGUUGCAGGGGCGGCUCUGGACACGGCGCAGGGCUCCGCCGAGGGCAGCGACAAGACACCUGACAAGAGCAAGAAGAAGAACCGCUGCUUCACCUGCCGUAAGAAAGUGGG